rfam:Cylindrobasidium torrendii FP15055 ss-10 unplaced genomic scaffold CYLTOscaffold_123, whole genome shotgun sequence.
GCCUCCUUGGCUCAGUUGGCUAGAGCGCAGGUCUCAUAUGAAAGUAUGAUCAAGCAAUGCUUGAGUGAUCCUGAGGUCGCAAGUUCGAGCCUUGCAGGGGGCA